rnacentral:rRNA from 1 species
CACGUAGGGCGCAAGCGUUGUCCGGAAUUAUUUGGGCGUAAAGAGCUCGUAGGCGGUCUGUUGCGUCCGCUGUGAAAACUCGGGGCUUAACCCCGAGCCUGCAGUGGAUACGGGCAGACUAGAGGUAGGUAGGGGAGAAUGGAAUUCCCGGUGUAGCGGUGAAAUGCGCAGAUAUCGGGAGGAACACCGGUGGCGAAGGCGGUUCUCUGG